rnacentral:lncRNA from 1 species
GAAUCCUGAUUAUGCUCAAGUGUAAGGCAGAGAGAAGGAGGAAGAGGAGGGCUUGGUUUUGCUGUGUUAGGGGUGGCUGAGGUGGAGGAAAAUCUGUGUACAAGAAGACACCCGCAGUUCAAACCUGUGUUGUUCAAGGAUCAAUUGUGCUUUAUCUUUUAACAGCAAAGUGCUGUUGGAAGAAGAUACAUAAAUUUAAUACUUCUCAAUCCUGGACGGAAUGUUGGGGGUGGAGGAGUUUAAGAAAAUACUGAUGAUCAGAUCCCACCUGAGACCAAGAAUAUUAGAAUCUCUGGGGUAGUACUGGGCAUUGGUAUAUUUUUUUAAGCUUCCCAGCUGUUACCAGUUCAUAUGGAUUGGAUAUUUGUCUCCUCCAAAUCUCAUGUUGAAAUGCAAUCCUCAGUGUUGGAGGUGGGGCCUGGUGGGAGGUGUUUGGAUCAUGGGGGCGGGUCCCUCAUGAAAGGCUUGGUGUCCUCCCCGUGAUAAUGAGUGAAGUCUUGCUUUAUUCAUUCACGUGAAAACUGGCUUAAAAGAGCCUGGCACCUCUCUUGCUCCCUCUCACCAUGUAACACGCCUGCUCCCCUUUGCCUUCCACCAUGAUGCAAGCUUCCUGAGGCCUCACCAGAAGCAGAUGCUGGCACCAUGCUUCAUGUACAGCCUGCAGAACCAUGAGCUAAAUAAACCUCUUUUCUUUAUAAAUUACCCAGCCUUGGUAAAUGCAAUGCAAAAUGGACUAAUACACCAGCGUAAAGCUAGGACAGACAGCCUCUGUCCCUAAAUGACCUCAGUCCUUGCUAAUUUUGUGUAUUUAUAGAAGCCACUUUUCAGAGUCAAUGUCCAAGAAGCUAAAGAAAUUUAACUUUGAUUUUGUCAUUAUUCUUGGAGGUGUGGCUUCCUUCUCUUCUUAUCAACCCAUUCUCAGGAAACUGACAAGCUCAGUCACACUGAGGUGUUAAUGACUGAUAACACUUCAUGUGUUAGUUUUUUAACAGAAUAUUCCUUGCCCUGAACAGGAGGAGCCAUGGGGGCCUUCUACAUCCACUCCUCCUUUUCCACCAUUCUGUGGGUGACCAGCUGCUUCCUGUAAGGCCUGUCCAGAUUCCUGAGAGAAGCGUUAGGGCUUCUGGCCAUAAAAAUAGGGUGUUCCAAGGACAUAAGCAGGGCAGUGAGCAGGGCAGUGUCCCUUUAAUUUGCUGCUGGAAUUGGGCAGCAUCUGAGAUCAGGACCUUUGAAAUAUUUAUCUGCUUGUUAUUUAUCUGGGCAGGGUGCAGGGGAGAGGAAAGGUCCUGGGAACUCUACCCAGAGUCAGGGAGAAUGCAGGGAAAACUUUGCUAAAUUUGUUUUAAUAACUUUUACUGUAAUUUUUUAUUGUAAAAGUAACAAAGCUUACUAGAGAAAUUUUGAAAUAUACAAAAAAGUGUAGAGAAGAAAGAAACCACCUAUAAUCCCACAACCCAGUGAUAGCCAAUGUUAACAGUUUGGCAUAUUUCCAGCUAGAGCUCUUUUUUAAGCACAGACACAUGCGCU